UACGGGGGGGGUAAGCGUUGUUCGGAAUUACUGGGCGUAAAGGGCUCGUAGGCGGCCAACUAAGUCAUACGUGAAAUCCCUCAGCUUAACUGGGGAACUGCGUGUGAUACUGGAUGGCUUGGAUUUGGGAGAGGGAUGCAGAAUUCCAGGUGUAGCGGUGAAAUGCGUAGAUAUCUGGAGGAAUACCGGUGGCGAAGGCGGCAUCCUGGACCGGCAUUGACGCUGAUGAGCGAAAGCUAGGGGAGCAAACGGG
rnacentral:rRNA from 1 species